AAGUGUGAAUGAUGAGAAUACAAAAGAGAAACAGUUAUCCCUGUCUGAGCUAUAUGCCUGCUGAUCUUUUUUCUCUCUGACACUCCU